rnacentral:rRNA from 1 species
AGUGAACGCUGGCGGUAGGCCUAACACAUGCCAGUCGAACGGCAGCACAGUAAGAGCUUGCUCUUACGGGUGGCGAGUGGCGGACGGGUGAGGAAUACAUCGGAAUCUACUUUUUCGUGGGGGAUAACGUAGGGAAACUUACGCUAAUACCGCAUACGACAUACGGGUGAAAGCAGGGGAUCUUCGGACCUUGCGCGAUUGAAUGAGCCGAUGUCGGAUUAGCUAGUUGGCGGGGUAAAGGCCCACCAAGGCGACGAUCCGUAGCUGGUCUGAGAGGAUGAUCAGCCACACUGGAACUGAGACACGGUCCAGACUCCUACGGGAGGCAGCAGUGGGGAAUAUUGGACAAUGGGCGCAAGCCUGAUCCAGCCAUGCCGCGUGGGUGAAGAAGGCCUUCGGGUUGUAAAGCCCUUUUGUUGGGAAAGAAAAGCAGCAGGUUAAUACCCCGCUGUUCUGACGGUACCCAAAGAAUAAGCACCGGCUAACUUCGUG